UACGUAGGGUGCGAGCGUUAAUCGGAAUUAUUGGGCGUAAAGAGCUCGUAGGCGGUCUGUCGCGUCUGCUGUGAAAACUCGGGGCUUAACCCCGGGCCUGCAGUGGGUACGGGCAGACUAGAGUGCGGUAGGGGAGACUGGAAUUCCUGGUGUAGCGGUGAAAUGCGCAGAUAUCAGGAGGAACACCGGUGGCGAAGGCGGGUCUCUGGGCCGUAACUGACGCUGAGGAGCGAAAGCGUGGGGAGCGAACAGG
rnacentral:rRNA from 1 species